rnacentral:rRNA from 1 species
UACGUAGGGUGCAAGCGUUAAUCGGAAUUACUGGGCGUAAAGCGUGCGCAGGCGGUUUUGUAAGACCGAUGUGAAAUCCCCGGGCUUAACCUGGGAACUGCAUUGGUGACUGCAAGGCUUGAGUGUGUCAGAGGGAGGUGGAAUUCCGCGUGUAGCAGUGAAAUGCGUAGAUAUGCGGAGGAACACCGAUGGCGAAGGCAGCCUCCUGGGCUGACACUGACGCUCAUGCACGAAAGCGUGGGGAGCAAACAGG